rnacentral:rRNA from 1 species
GGAAGGAUCAUUACUGAAUUGUCAACACGAGUUGUUGCUGGUCCUCAUAUGGGGGCAUGUGCACGCUCUGUUUGCACAUCCAUUCACACCUGUGCACCUUCUGUGGUUCUAUAGCUUGGGGGAUGCUGUCUUCCUGCUGUGGUUCUGCAUCUUUACACACACACCGUAACAAAGUCUAUGGGAUGUAUGCCGCGUUUAACGCAAUACAAUACAACUUUCAGCAACGGAUCUCUUGGCUCUCGCAUCGAUGAAGAACGCAGCGAAAUGCGAUAAGUAAUGUGAAUUGCAGAAUUCAGUGAAUCAUCGAAUCUUUGAACGCACCUUGCGCCCUUUGGUUAUUCCGGAGGGCAUGCCUGUUUGAGUAUCAUGAACACCUCAACUUCCAUGGUUUGCCAUGGUAGCUUGGACUUUGGAGGUCUUGCUGGCCCACAGUCAGCUCCUCUCAAAUGAAUCAGCUUGCCAGUGUCUGGUGGUUCACAGGUGUGAUAAAUAUCUAUGCCUGUGGUUUCCGCCAGGUAACCUUUGAUGAUGGAGGUUUGCUGGAGCUUACAGAUGUCCCCCCCUCGGUGAGGGUGGCUCUUUGAACGUUUGAUCUCAAAUCAGG